GUCAACCAAACGCGUUCA
rnacentral:snRNA from 1 species